CAUGCGCAAAAAAGAACGUUGACGUCACACAGCGAGCUCUGAUUAGGGAAGUAAUAAUGGCCGCCGUCGUCGUCUAUAGAUCGAUUUUAAAGUUUAUUCAGCAAUGGGAGCCGAUAGUAUCGUCACUAAAACGCAAUAAGACGGAGGAAGCUAAGAAAAAGAAAACUCAACUAAUAGCGACGCCUUUUUGUGGAGCAUUGACUGCAACUUCUGGAGUCUGUGUGGCCUCGUAGUCGGAACCAGGAAUGGCGGGAUUCGGAUGCAACGCGCUUCACUGACACAUACUUAUUUUAUAAUUUCAUAACGUUCAGCCGUUGUUUGCGGUCGGGUUUACCUCGUCUGGCUUCUUGUGGUGGAGGAAAGGACAGCUGGAACCGACUUUGGAGGGCCGCAUCCCGCAGCUGGUCGCCGUAAGUGUUGACCUCUGAGGUCAAAACAAGCAUCUCCUCCUCAACUUACACAGACAGCACAGCUGAGUUCCCAUAAAUUAAAGCACAAAGUUCUCCUGAAAACAGCCCUCUGGCAGUUUUUAUAACUCUCUCCCCUGUUUUCAUCAUGAACCAGUGUCUGUAAUGUAAUUUAGUUGAGUGAGCUGCCUGGGAUGCCCAUCAUUCCCUCCAUCUCUUCCUGCUUGUAUCGAUCUUCCUCUUGGACCAAUUAGACAUCUGCCUCCGCAGGGUUCUGCUGCACCCAUAUCUGCACCACUGGACCAAACCAGUGUUUGUUCAGGGACAACAGGACUUUUCCCUCCUCCGUGGAGAGGAAGUAGACUGGAUUUCCUCUGGAAACGGCAAUAAAUAACCGAAUAAUUCAAAUUUCACAAACUGCUGAUAA